CUUUUAGGGGUUGAGUCUGGAAUUGAAUGAGAGUGAGGUAUACCACAUGAAUACCAUGGAAGAAUUAUAGGCUUUGAAUUUAUAAAAUGUGUUUAUAGAAUGGUGACCUCUGAUUCCAAGUGUUGAGUUUGUGUUCUGGUUUUAGUUACAAAUAGAGUAAGCCACAAACUUCAGAAGUGGAUCUGGGUUUGGCUUUCAAACAUGAACACAUACAAGAUCUGGGAUUCUGGUUCACAUCCAUCACUGCUGUUAAUUUUGCUUUCAAUUGUGGGUUCUGUUUCUCUAAAAACCUCUCAUCCAGUUUUAGCCGUCAAUGUAGCAUAUUAAAUAUAUCUUUGC